AAAAAAGCAUCUAAAGACAGACAUAAGCAAUGUGUUGAGCCCUGCCACAUGCUGAUUGAAAAUACAAUAGAAAUACAAGCAGACAAUAUAUGAGGGUCAAGAAUAUGGAAAGAUUUAAAGAAAGUUAAUUUUUACACAAUGGCUAAUUGGUACACUGGUGAAAAUAUCUGGAUUGAUCCCUAUCACGUUGAACCUGUGCACAAUUAUGAUGUCCAAGGUGUAGUGCUUGACAAACGUGUCCACCGAGGCCCAACUAGCUGCUUUGCAGAUGUCUUGGAGUGGGACACCUUUCAGGAAGACUGCUGAAUAUGCGGGAUCUGGUGGAAUGAGCAUGAACUUCCAACGGACAAGGUAAGUCUGCUGUUUUAUAACACAAGAGAAUCACCUGCACCACCCAGCGGCCCAAGGUCUGUGGGCUAGCCUUUUCCCCUUUCUUUUGAUUCCAGAAACACACAAAAAGGUGGGA